rnacentral:rRNA from 1 species
AAGAAGGCCUUCGGGUUGUAAAGCUCUUUCGGCAGGAACGAAACGGCGAGCUCUAACAUAGCUCGCUAAUGACGGUACCUGAAGAAGAAGCACCGGCUAACUACGUGCCAGCAGCCGCGGUAAUACGUAGGGUGCGAGCGUUAAUCGGAAUUACUGGGCGUAAAGCGUGCGCAGGCGGUUGUGUAAGACAGGUGUGAAAUCCCCGGGCUUAACCUGGGAACUGCGCUUGUAAAACGACGGCCAGAGUAUGGCAGAGGGGGGUGGAAUUCCACGUGUAGCAGUGAAAUGCGUAGAGAUGUGGAGGAACACCGAUGGCGAAGGCAGCCCCCUGGGCCAAUACUGACGCUCAUGCACGAAAGCGUGGGGAGCAAACAGGAUUAGAUACCCUGGUAGUCCACGCCCUAAACGAUGUCGAACUAGGUGUUCGGUGAGGAGACUCAUUGAGUACCGCAGCUAACGCGUGAAGUCGACCGCCUGGGGGAGUACGGUCGCAAGAUUAAAACUCAAAGGAAUUGACGGGGACCCGCACAAGCGGUGGAUGAUGUGGAUUAAUUCGAUGCAACGCGAAAAACCUUACCUACCCUUGACAUGUACGGAACCCUGCUGAGAGGUGGGGGUGCUCGAAAGAGAGCCGUAACACAGGUGCUGCAUGGCUGUCGUCAGCUCGUGUCGUGAGAUGUUGGGUUAAGUCCCGCAACGAGCGCAACCCUUGUCAUUAAUUGCCAUCAUUUAGUUGGGCACUUUAAUGAGACUGCCGGUGACAAACCGGAGGAAGGUGGGGAUGACGUCAAGUCCUCAUGGCCCUUAUGGGUAGGGCUUCACACGUCAUACAAUGGUCGGUACAGAGGGUUGCCAAGCCGCGAGGUGGAGCCAAUCCCAGAGAGCCGAUCGUAGUCCGGAUCGCAGUCUGCAACUCGACUGCGUGAAGUCGGAAUCGCUAGUAAUCGCGGAUCAGCAUGUCGCGGUGAAUACGUUCCCGGGUCUUGUACACACCGCCCGUCACACCAUGGGAGUGGGUUCUACCAGAAGUAGUUAGCCUAACCGUAAGGAGGGCGAUUACCACGGUAGGAUUCAUGACUGGGGUGAAGUCGUAACAAGGUAACCAAGCU